rnacentral:lncRNA from 1 species
CGGGAGCCAGGAGCCUGGCCUAGCAGACCAUCCGUGAAUGUUUGUUGAAUGACUGAAUGAAAUACGGCACUGGCUGUGUUUCACACACUCAGUCAGCCCAGUGUUUCUGGCAUAAGUCCCACCCGCCACCCGCUGUCUGCCAGCUCAGCCUCUGGAUUUCCACAUCUGCUGCUGCUGCCAGGAGUGACAGGCCCUGGGGGAGGUAGUUCCCGUCUUCAGAGCCAGGGACAGGCAGAGGCUGCCAGGACACGAACUUCCUUCACACAGUAGAGUCAGGCUGAGUUAUUCUCCCGGACUGGUCAGUCAAAUUCUUGGGCCCUUGGGCAAGGACCCCAUCCAGGAGUGUCUGGCUUCGUCUGCUCAAACGCCUGCUCGACUGCCUGCCUCAGUGUCUCCAUUGGAAGCUGCUCUGAGUUUGAAAGGAGUCAUCUGGGCUGGUUUCGUCAGUGCAUGGAGGAGAGGAGCUGCCUGGAAGCAUGGGCAGGCUCGGGCCCCAGCUGGAGACAGCCUGCAGGCCUUGGCUGAGUCAUUUCCCGCAGGCCUCCUCGUCCCCCUAGAGGCUGUGGGAAGGCCAAGGUGGAAUGUGCUGGGAAGCAGGAAUUGUGAGCCAAAGGAGAGCCAAUGCUGGCCUGGGCUGGUUAUCCUGCCCGACACCUUAAUCCAUUUUCUCCUUCCUUCACACACUCAUCUGUUUGGUGGACAUGAUGUUUCUUUUGUUUGUUGCUUUGUUUUUGUUUUGUUUUCUGUUUUUGUUGUUAUUGAGACAGGGCCUUACCCUGUAGCCCAGGACGGACUCAAACCCACAGUGAUCCUUGCCUUGGUCUCCUGAGUCCUGGGUUCACAGGUGUACACUACCUUGCAAGCCCGUGUCACACAUAACCCUGGUGUCAGUGUAUCCAGAGGGAACCUGUGGUGGCCAUGUAAGGCAAGAAUGAUCUGGAGGGGUCGGAAGCUCCGGGACCCCUCAGGCAUGUGUCCUCAGGGCCAGCAACCACACGUCAUCAGGGCCUCUGAUCACUUGAAGUGGUGGUGAUGGGAAGUGGCUUUUUUCCCCAAAAUGACCAGGAGCCAUUGACUCCCCAGUGGCACCAAGGACACAGCUGCUGAGCCAGCACAGCACCACUGAGGGCGACUGAAAAGAAUGUUGCCUCCAAAUGUACCUCGCAUGCUAACCCUGCAGCCAGGUGCUGCGUCGAGCCUCUCACACGGUGAUGAUGGUCGAGGCUAGCUUUCCAAGCUGCUUGCUGUGCCAAGC